GACGAACGCUGGCGGCGUGCUUAACACAUGCAAGUCGAGCGAUGAAGUUCCUUCGGGAAUGGAUUAGCGGCGGACGGGUGAGUAACACGUGGGUAACCUGCCUCAUAGAGGGGAAUAGCCUUUCGAAAGGAAGAUUAAUACCGCAUAAGAUUGUAGCUUCGCAUGAAGUAGCAAUUAAAGGAGUAAUCCGCUAUGAGAUGGACCCGCGUCGCAUUAGCUAGUUGGUGAGGUAACGGCUAACCAAGGCGACGAUGCGUAGCCGACAUGAGAGGGUGAUCGGCCACAUUGGGACUGAGACACGGCCCAGACUCCUACGGGAGGCAGCAGUGGGGAAGAUUGCACAAUGGGGGAAACCCUGAUUCAGCAACGCCGCGUGAGUGAUGACGGUCUACGGAUUGUAAAGCUCUGUCUUCAGGGACGAUAAUGACGGUACCUGAGGAGGAAGCCACGGCUAACUACGUGCCAGCAGCCGCCGUAA
rnacentral:rRNA from 1 species